UACAGAGGUCCCAAGCGUUGUUCGGAUUCACUGGGCGUAAAGGGUGCGUAGGCGGUUGUUUAAGUCUGACGUGAAAUCUCCGAGCCUAACUCGGAAACUGCGUUGGAAACUAUUCAGCUAGAGGAAUGGAGGGGAGACUGGAAUACUUGGUGUAGCAGUGAAAUGCGUAGAUAUCAAGUGGAACACCAGUGGCGAAGGCGAGUCUCUGGACAUUUCCUGACGCUGAGGCACGAAAGCCAGGGGAGCAAACGGG
rnacentral:rRNA from 1 species